UACAUCGGCCGGGAAUCGAACCCGGGCCGCCCACGUGGCAGGCGAGCAUUCUACAACUGAACCACCGAUGG
rnacentral:tRNA from 1 species